rnacentral:rRNA from 1 species
AGUGAACGCUGGCGGUAGGCCUAACACAUGCAAGUCGAACGGCAGCACAGUAAGAGCUUGCUCUUACGGGUGGCGAGUGGCGGACGGGUGAGGAAUACAUCGGAAUCUACUUUUUCGUGGGGGAUAACGUAGGGAAACUUACGCUAAUACCGCAUACGACCUACGGGUGAAAGCAGGGGAUCUUCGGACCUUGCGCGAUUGAAUGAGCCGAUGUCGGAUUAGCUAGUUGGCGGGGUAAAGGCCCACCAAGGCGACGAUCCGUAGCUGGUCUGAGAGGAUGAUCAGCCACACUGGAACUGAGACACGGUCCAGGCUACUACGGGAGGCAGCAGUGGGGAAUAUUGGACAAUGGGCGCAAGCCUGAUCCAGCCAUACCGCGUGGGUGAAGAAGGCCUUCGGGUUGUAAAGCCCUUUUGUUGGGAAAGAAAAGCAGCAGGUUAAUACCCAGCUGUUCUGACGGUACCCAAAGAAUAAGCACCGGCUAACUUCGUG